AGGUGUAUGUUGAAAACUACACAUGUAUUUUGGGGGAAAAAAGCUAUUGUAAAAAGGCAUAGUCUUAUUAUACAAUUUAUCUGACUGUCUUCAUAGAUCACUUUUUUUUUUUUUAAAUGAAUGGGGAUAAAAACAUUUGGAACCAUAAUGUGAACAAAGUCAAGUUGUUCCUCUUAGUAUAAGCUGAACCACAAUAAAAGUGCAUUGAGAACAAAACCUGAUAGAGAUAAGAAACAAUGUGUUGGUUGAAUGACUUAAUGUUGAAAGAGGUAUUUUCAGGUCAUUUUAAGACAAUGUACAAAAAGAAAAAGCCCUGGAAAGCUUCCCAUCUAUUUAUUGACGUGUUCAUUUUCCCUGAACAGGACCAGUCACGAUUCCUGUCAUAUGAUGUCUCUUUCUUUAGCAGUUUCAAAGUCUUUUUGUCUGGAUUUUUCCAUGAUGUAACUUCUCCCCAGGAGUGAGUUACUGGAGUAGAUGAUCCAUGUACAGAGUUUUUAUGAAAGCCAAUGGAAGGAGAGUCAUUAGCUUUUUUUUUUUUUUUUUUUUAAAUGCUUUUUAGACUCUGCUUAAGAUGGUUCUUUGAGAGAAUGAUAAGAACAAAAUCUGGAUUUCUUGCUAUGCAAAUAUUCCUAAGAAGUACAGAAGCAUAAUGGAUGCAAGGAUGGUCUUCAAGUCGAGAGAAGCUGGAUUUGUCUUUCCUCUGGCACAUACUAACUGGAUAAUAUGGACAGGAGAAAGUGAAUAAAACUGCGAUGGACUCACCAUUGUCAUCAAAGCCAUGGGUGACUUCGUGUCCUAUAACCAUGCCGAUGCCGCCAUAAUUCAAGGAGUUGGGCUGGUUUGCACUGAAGAAGGGAGGCUGCAGGAUGCCAGCUGGGAAAACUACAAAGAUAGAAGGUUAAGUGUGGAGCACAGUCCAACACAGGCUGACUUCAAUGAGAACCCAAACCCCAAUGCAAACCUGAAGCAAGGACCUCCACACUUGUACCAAGCAGUCAUUCAAGUGGACCGUACCAACUGAAAGCUAGCAGAGGGCAUUAGAGGCAACUAAAUUAGCAUAUGUACCUUCCAGAAUUUGCAGCCCCUCAGACAAUAAGGAGAUCUGACAACUCCUCAAAAGGAAAUUACAGAACUUUGCAGUUCCAAGUUAUAGACUCAGGGCAGGGAGAAGCACUAGCCGAAGGAGACCCUAGUCAUAGAGUGGGAAAGUGUAUUUGUAGCCAUCAAACCAGAGCACAGUGACCAUGCCAUUACUUGGAUCAUGCCAUGUAGGAAGAACCAAAAACUUAGACCCACAGAACUCCCUUAGUAAGCAACAGCAUAAAAAUCUGAAACCUGAGAUACUAGCCACUUCAUUCCAAGAACAGAACUCAAUGUUAGCAUUAAGACAAAAGAAACAGACUGAAAAAAUGGGCAAAAACAACAACAACAAACCUGAUCACAGAAAGUGAGUAUAGUGACAAAGUACAUCAAAACAGAAACUAGGAAGAUGAAAGGAAAGUCAAACCAGCUACAUGUGAAGCCUCAAUGAAUAUAUAAAGUGGUUUAAUCACCACCCAAAAAAGAAGUUCUUAAAGAUAAAGUCCAAUAUGAGAGGUAGAAUGGGGGAAAGAAAAGAAAAAGAAUGGAAAAUUGUUCAAGAAAAUCAUGAAAAAGUCAACAACUUGGAAAAAAGAGGCACAGCUUCAGAUCUAAAAAGCAAAGGGAAGGGAGCUGAUCAGCGAUGAUUUCAAAAAGAAUAACCUCCACAAAAUACCGGAGCAGGUCUUCCAGAGCUUGCUUGAAGACCUCCAAUGGAGGUACAAUCCUGGAGAGUGAGCCAUUCUGCUCUUUGACAACUCUUCCAUGAAGUGUUUCCUGCUACUUCUAGUUCUGCCGCCUGGGACAUAUCUAAACCCUUUUUCAUGGAGACAGCACUUCAAAUACUUAGAUCUAGUUAUCAAGGAGCUCUCUCCAACUCUUCUUCAAGUUCUCCCCCAAUUCUUUCAACUGAGCCUCUGGGGGCCCAAGUUGAGACCUGCCACUCUCCUGUUUGUCUUCAUCACCAGUUUGGGUGUCUCCUUGCUAAAAUGUGGUGUUCUCAACUGGACAAGGAAACUCUUCUAGUAAGUAAGAAUAUACAAAAAUAUCUUGGUCACCUUGAGACUAUGUAAACACAAUACCUUUUUCUUGUUUGUAUCUUUCUGAUUCAUUCACCCUUAAUCAAAGAGGGGAAAGAACAGUCAAGAGAAUAAUAAACUCAAAUGCAAAUCAGUUUACUUUCUGAUUUUCUCAGUUCCUUGAUUUUGGGUCAGCCAUACCACAGGCAAAUAGAUAAAUGACUAAUCAGGAGAUCACUGAGGCAAGGCAGUGAUUGGCCCUCAUGUUCCCUAAGGCUAAAUGAAGCUUGGAAGUAGCUUGUUGGAUUUCCUCAAGCAGAAGCUGAAUGACUACUCUGAUGGAUACCUUUCACAUUUGGCUUGGACAGAUGAAAACUGAGGAUCCUUCCAACUCUCUGAUGCUGUGAAGACCACUGAGCACAUAGGGAGGAGGUGAAAAGGAAGGAGAAAAAUUUGGAACACAA